rnacentral:rRNA from 1 species
GACGAACCACACGAACGUUAUUCGGAAUUACUGGGCUUAAAGGGUGCGUAGGCGGCGUAGUAAGUUGGGUGUGAAAUCCCUCGGCUCAACCGAGGAACUGCGCCCAAAACUACUAUGCUUGAGGAAGAUAGAGGUAAGCGGAACUUACGGUGGAGCGGUGAAAUGCGUUGAUAUCGUAAGGAACACCUGUGGCGAAAGCGGCUUACUGGGUCUUUUCUGACGCUGAUGCACGAAAGCCAGGGGAGCAAACGGG